rnacentral:lncRNA from 1 species
GUAUUUCCUGGGUGAUAAGAGUGUCUUUUGUUCUAAUGAGGUGACUCUGGAUGGGCUCCUGGAUGGUUCCUGGAUGGGGGCUGGUCACCAGAAAGACCAAGCCAGGAUUAGAAGCUUAGAAUUUUCAGCCCCAUCCCCAUUCUUGAGGCGGGAGAAGGGCUGAAGUUAAUGAUUAAUCAUGCCUACGUGAUGAAGCCUCCACAAAAUCCCACAAGUUCAGAGAGCUUCCAGGCAUCGCUCUCUAAUAAACACCUUACAGCGAACUCCAUCUCAGCGUCUGUUUCUGCAGAACCCAGCCUGCAGUAGUGGCCGCCAAGAGCUGGAUUACUCACCACCUGGCUGGUAGAAGCCUCAUGGGCAAUGGCUUUGCCAAGAAGAUCAGUGGCAAGGAGAUCUGGGAUAGAGGCAUGCAGAUGGACCUGUGGAUGUGAACACAAGAUAUGAAGAUUCUUAUAUCACAUCUUAAUGCUCACCAGAGAGCACCCACCAUGAGAGACACCCAAGUAAACAAAAUGAUUUGGCCAGUCGAUGUCAGCCAGUCUUUUUCAUUGCCCACCCAAGUACUGGUAUGGUGGGCACAAGUAUCAGUGUGAUAUGUUUAUUUCUUAUUACUAACCACUGAAAUGACCUAGAAGCAAUAAAACUCCAGUAGCAAUGAGCACAUCUAGUUCCCAGAUCUUGGUGUUUAAAAUACCAAUCUCCAUUAAAAGGAAGCAGGGCUCCUUGGGGAAAUGGUUGAUUCCAGAUCUGGGGCAGAAAAAGUACAAGGUGAGCCUGGAACGUAUUUUCGUACCAAAAAAGCAAACAAGUGCUCAAAAGGUCACAGGAGCCAGCUUGAAGGAGUUCCCACUGACCAAACUUGAAACAAGUUGAACAAAUUGAAUAAUCAUGUUAAUGAAUUACAACACAUUGAAGAAAAAGACAAUUGCAAGUUAAUAGUCUUCUUUUUAAAAAAUAGGAGAUAGGGAGAGAAUAAAGAGAAAGCCCUUGUCUACAAAGGAAUACAAGAUAAUAGAUACAAUGGAAAUGAUAAGUAGGCAAAUCACCAUUUUGCAACUACUGAUUAAUAUGUGUGGGAAUCAUUAAUGGAUGCUAAAACCAACAGGUAGGAAAUUAUUGGGGAACAGGAUAUUCACAGUUUUCAAAUACCACACCACAGAUUAUUUAUUCAUUACAAAAAGGGAAAAAGAGAUGUAAUUUUAUAAUGGAG